rnacentral:rRNA from 1 species
AUUGAACGCUGGCGGCAGGCCUAACACAUGCAAGUCGAACGAGUGGCGGACGGGUGAGUAAUGUCUGGGAAACUGCCUGAUGGAGGGGGAUAACUACUGGAAACGGUAGCUAAUACCGCAUACUCUCGGAUGUGCCCAGUUGGGAUUUGUGAGUAGGUGGGGUAACGGCUCACCUAGGCGACGAUCCCUAGCUGGUCUGAGAGGAUGACCAGCCACACUGGGACUGAGACACGGUCCAGACUCCUACGGGAGGCAGCAGUGGGGAAUAUUGCACAAUGGGCGCAAGCCUGAUGCAGCCAUGCCGCGUGUAUGAAGAAGGCCUUCGGGUUGUAAAGUACUUUCAGCGGGGAGGCGUUACCCGCAGAAGAAGCACCGGCUAACUCCGUGCCAGCCGCCGCGGUAAUAC